AGAGUUUGAUCAUGGCUCAGAUUGAACGCUGGCGGCAUGCUUUACACAUGCAAGUCGAACGGCAGCACAGGGAGCUUGCUCCCGGGUGGCGAGUGGCGCACGGGUGAGUAAUACAUCGGAACGUGUCCUGUUGUGGGGGAUAACUGCUCGAAAGGGUGGCUAAUACCGCAUGAGACCUGAGGGUGAAAGCGGGGCAUCGCAAGACCUCGCGCAAUUGGAGCGGCCGAUGCCCCGAUUAGCUAGUUGGUGAGGUAAAGGCUCACCAAGGCGACGAUCGGUAGCUGGUCUGACGAGGACGACCAGCCACACUGGGACUGAGACACGGCCCAGACUCUACGGGAGCA
rnacentral:rRNA from 1 species